rnacentral:rRNA from 1 species
GAUGAACGCUGGCGGCGUGCCUAAUACAUGCAAGUCGAGCGAACAGACGAGGAGCUUGCUCCUCUGACGUUAGCGGCGGACGGGUGAGUAACACGUGGAUAACCUACCUAUAAGACUGGGAUAACUUCGGGAAACCGGAGCCAAUACCGGAUAAUAUAUUGAACCGCAUGGUUCAAUAGUGAAAGACGGUUUUGCUGUCACUUAUAGAUGGAUCCGCGCCGCAUUAGCUAGUUGGUAAGGUAACGGCUUACCAAGGCAACGAUGCGUAGCCGACCUGAGAGGGUGAUCGGCCACACUGGAACUGAGACACGGUCCAGACUCCUACGGGAGGCAGCAGUAGGGAAUCUUCCGCAAUGGGCGAAAGCCUGACGGAGCAACGCCGCGUGAGUGAUGAAGGUCUUCGGAUCGUAAAACUCUGUUAUUAGGGAAGAACAAAUGUGUAAGUAACUAUGCACGUCUUGACGGUACCUAAUCAGAAAGCAACGGCUAACUACGUG